rnacentral:rRNA from 1 species
GGUCUGAGAGGAUGAUCCGCCACACUGGGACUGAGACACGGUCCAGACUCCUACGGGAGGCAGCAGUGGGGAAUUUUGGACAAUGGGGGCAACCCUGAUCCAGCCAUGCCGCGUGAGUGAAGAAGGCCUUCGGGUUGUAAAGCUCUUUCAGCCGGGAAGAAAAUGUUGGGGUUAAUACCCUGUGCUCAUGACGGUACCGGAAUAAGAAGCACCGGCUAACUACGUGCCAGCAGCCGCGGUAAUACGUAGGGUGCGAGCGUUAAUCGGAAUUACUGGGCGUAAAGCGUGCGCAGGCGGUUUUGUAAGACAGAUGUGAAAUCCCCGGGCUUAACCUGGGAACUGCGUUUGAAACUACA